rnacentral:rRNA from 1 species
AUUGAACGCUGGCGGCAUGCUUUACACAUGCAAGUCGAACGGUAACAGGCCGUCGGGUGCUGACGAGUGGCAGACGGGUGAGUAAUGCAUAGGAACGUGCCCAGAGGUGGGGGGAAAGGCAGCAAAAGGGGAGAUAGUACCGAAUAGGGGAUGAGAAUGAGAGCGGGGGGGGAGGAAGGAAAGUUUGGGCUGUGGCGUUAGGAAUAGACGGUGUCGGAUUGGGUAGUUGGGGGGGUAAGGGCCUACCAAGCCGACGAUCUGUAGCUGAUCUGAGAGGAGGACCAGCCACACUGGGACUGAGACACGGCCCAGACUCCUACGGGAGGCAGCAGUGGGGAAUUUUCGACAAUGGGCGCAAGCCUGAUCCAGCAAUGCCGCGUGCGGGAUGAAGGCCUUCGGGUUGUAAACCUCUGUUGUUCGGAACGAACAGGUUCUGGCUAAUACCUGGGGCUGAUGACGGUACCGUAAGAAUAAGCACCGGCUAACUACGUG